rnacentral:lncRNA from 1 species
UUUUUAUCCUGCAGGAACUUUGUUGGCAUUCUUAAGAUUAUGAAACCAGCAACUGGUUUAUAAUUAUUCUGAAUUUGAUAAGAAAAUUUGAAGUGGGAUUACCAUCCUAAUAUGAAAUGACAUUGACCCAGUGAAAUUCAACCAAGAAAAAUUUUAAAACAAAGCAGGAUGUGAUUGAAGCAAUGGCUAAAUUUAUUUUAAAAUAUGUAAUGCCUACAAUACCACACAUAUAGUUAAUGAAAAUUCUGAAGAAAUACAAGCUGGCAUAGUCAAAGCACCUAGGCUAGAAACAGCAAAUGAUUCGGAUGACAUGGGCUAAAAGAUAACAAGGAAUCAUUUUCUAUAAGCAUUAACAAUAAGGAAGACAAAAAAUUUUAGCAAGAGUCAACAUCAAGAAGAUAAAAAUAAUAGUAAUGACAAAGAAAGAGCCAGAGAGCAGACAAAGUAUCAAGACUUGAGUCUUAAGGGAUGUCAGGGAAGUAUUGAGAUCUCAUCCUCCCCAGCCACUGUUCCAGUGUUCAUAUUGACAGCAAAACUCCUCAAAAGAGCUGAAGGGGAACAGGUGUACUGGCUCAUGCCUGUAAUCCCAGCACUUUGGGAGGCAGAGGUGGGUGGAUCGCCUGAGGUCAAGAGUUUUGAGACCAGCCUGGCCAAUAUGGUGAACCCCUGUCUCUACUAAAAAUACAAAAAUUAGCCGGGAGUGGUGGCACACACCUGUAAUCCCAGCUACUUGAGAAGCUGAGGCACAAGAAUCACUUGAACCUGGGAGGUGGAGGUUGCAGUGAACUGAGAUGGCACCACUGCACUCCAGCCUGGGCAACAAGAGCAAGACUCUAUUCCCAAAAAAAAAGGGGGCUGAAGGGAUUCGUGCCAUCCCAAAAUAUGCUGUUUUGGCAUAUUGAUUAUUUUAAUCUGAAGGCACUUGAGAAACAGCUCAUGCAGAAGGGCUCUGAUAUGGUAUGGAUGUGUUUCCCCUCCAAAUUUUAUGUUGCAUUGUGACCUCCAGUGUUAGAGAUGAGCCUAGUGGGAGGUGUUUGGGUCAUGGGGGCAGAUCCCUCAUGAAUGUCUUCAUGCUGUCCCUGCGAUAAUGAGUGAGUUCUCACUCUGUUCAUUCAUGCAGAGCUGAGCCUGGAAGCUCCUCCUCUCGCUCCUGCUUCUUUCUCACCAUGUGACAUGCCUGCUCCCGCUUCACCUUCUGCCAUGAGUAAAAACUUCCUGAGGCCUCGCCAGAAGCCAAGCAAAUGCUGGUUCCAUGCUUGAGCAGCUUGCCAAACUGUGAGCCAAUUAAACCUCUUUUCUUUAUAAAUUACUGAGUCUCAGGUAUUCCUUUACAGCGAUGCAAAACAAACUAACAUAGGCUCUCUGACCUCCUCAUUUCUACCUAAAAACAGAUCAUAAAAUUUUCCAUGAAAAAGGUGCCUUCCCUGUACUAGGAAGAGAACAUUCUUAUCACCAGAGACUAGGAGUUGAUGCCGAAAUGGACUUCCACAACAAACUACCAAAACGACCCUGUCUUUCGUUAAUUUCCCCCAUGUAUUUCCUAGGCACUGUCCUACAAUUUAAUGCCCCAAGCCCAAGCCCCUUUGUCUUGUCACAUCCCCAUAAUUUAUUGUUCUUUGCGUGAAAAUGUAUAUAAGCUUCACGGCCUACUGUCUUCCUAGGGUCUUCAUUUCCCUUUUGAAGACUGCCACGUCCGUGUAAAAAUAUUAAUAAAAUUGGUAUGCUUUUCUCCUGUUAAUCUGUCUUAUGUCAGUUUAAUUCUUGGACCAACAACAGAACUGAAGAGGGUAGAAGGAAAUUUUGCUUCCCCUACAAAGCCAUUUACUCCCUGAGUCCAAACCUGCUUGAGUUUGCUUCCAUUGCUCUCACUUCAGUGACACUGUUUCUGUCAAGGUCACCAUUUCCAUGUUGCUAGAUUCAGUAGUCAACUCUCAGUCCUCAUCUUACUCUAGCAGCAGCAUUUGAGGAAACUCAUUACAUCCUUUUUCACUUGACCCCUGGAAUGAAUGCCAUUCUCUUUUUUCUUCUACUCCAGCUACUCUUCCUCAGUGUCCUUUAUGACAUUGCCCUCAUUUUCCUGACCUCUAAACUCCAGGGAGCCCAAGGGCUCAAUUCUCAGCCCACUCCUAGUGUAUAUUUACUCCCAGGUGAUCCCAGUUAGUCCCAUGGCUGAAAGCGCUGAUAUCUCUAAGAGGCGCAUCUUUAUCCCAGCCCUCUUUCCUGCCUUGUACAUUCAAUUGCUACUUGCUGUCUCCAUUAGACGUCUAAUAGGCAUCUCAAAGUUAACACAUCCAAACAUGAAUUCCUGAUCUUUCUCCCCAAAACCUGCUCCUACAACACCCUUCCCCUCGUCCAUAAAAUCAACUCCACUCUUUCGUUGCUCAGGCCAAAAAUCUGGCAGUUGUUUUGGUUCCCUUCUUUCCCUCACGCGCCACAUCUAAUCCAUCGGCAUAUACUAUUGGCUCCAUAUUUCAAAUAUGUUCUGAAUUCAACCAUUUUUCAUCUCCUGUCACCACUCUCAAUCACCGUCACCUCUCACCUGAUGCUAUCAUCUGAAUGUUUGUGUCCCACGCAAAAUUCAUAUAUUGAAACCUAACCCCCAAGAUGAUGGUAGUGAAAGGUGGGGCCUUUGGGAGGUAAUUAGGUAUGAAGGCUCUGUCCUUAUGAACAGGAUUAGUGCCCUUAUAAAAGAGGGUUCAGGGAGCCCUUUUGCCCCUCCUGCCAUGUGAGGACACGGCAAGAACGUGCCUACUAUAAGAAACAGACAGGCACUCACCAGACACUGAAUCUAUUGGCACCUUGAUCUUGGACCUCCCAGCCUCCAAGAUUGUGAGAAAUUUGUGUUGUGAGAAAUUUCUGCUAUCCCUCAGUCUCAGGUAUAGCAGCAAGAAAGGACUAAGACACCUGAGAUACUGCAAUAGACUCUUAACUACUUUCUUUGCUUCUGCCUCUACCUCCUUUUUAUGUCCACACGAUCAUCUUAACAUGUAACAAAGUUCUACCCCUCCUCUACACAAAGCCUUCCAGGGGCUCCCAUCUCACUCAGAGUAAAAUCCAUGGCCCACAAAACCCUAGGUGGUCUGCCUCCCCCACCUCCCCACAAUCUCUCUGAUCUCUUUCCACCUCCAUCCCACCCCCUUGCUCACUCCGAUAUGGCCAUCCAGCAGCCAUCUGUCCUCUGUGAUGUUCCUCUGACGGGUUAGCACCCCGAGUCCCGCACCUAUGCACUAGCAGAGCCCUCUGCUGGACACACUCUUCCCUGGGGAUCUGAGUGGCACUCUACCUCAUUUCUUUCAGGUCUCGCUGCUAGAAUGUCAUCUCAUCAAAGAGAACGUCCCUUACCAACCUAUCUAAAAUGGCACGCUUCUACCACUCUUUAUUGUUUUACCCUGCUUUAUUUUUCUGCAUAGCAAUAAUCACAACUUGAUAUUUAUUGCCUGACUUCCCCCACUAUUAUAUGCUCUCUAUAACAGCAGGAAUUAACUGUUUUUGUAAUUACUUGUCCCUAGUACCUAGAAAAAUGCAGACAUAUAGUAAGCACUUAAGAAAAUUAGAAUGAUCAGCAAGAUGAUUAUUUGGAACGAAGGUCACAUAGCAUUUUGAGGUGACUCAGAGUGCCAAACUGGCAGCCAAUGUCUUUAGGAAGCCUUCUGUACUUCAGAAGGCUUUGGGAAUGCUGCGUGCGUACAGCUACACUCAUAGACUACUCAUGAUAUAAGACUUUUGGAAAGAGAGUGUCCUAACUGGCUUUACAAAAAACAACAACAUCCACCCAGGGAGAUUUCUGAGAGAAAUACAGAGCCCAUCUUGAAAAGAACAAUAUUCAUUACUCCUUUCUGAGGACUGAAACAGAACCAAGGCUUGUCCCUGAGUCAAGGCAGCAUGAAAUAUUCUCCUGAAAGCAUAUAUCUUUGCUUGUUCUUACCUAAGAAGCUGAAAGUACAAUCCUGGACUGGAGAUUUUUAGAGACCACAUUGACCUUGACACAUGCCAAAGCAGGAUGAAUUAAUUAUAAUAUCUUAUAAAUCUUUUAAAGAAAGAAGAUUUUAUUAACUCUCAUUAGAAAAAUUUUGUUUGAAACCUGUGGAGAAGGAAGACACUGUUUUUCUUUCUCUGUAACAGUUAGAAAUGUUCAGAGACAAGCAUAGUAUUUAAAUCUUUCGGAUGUGUAAAACUGUAUUUGACAGCAUUUUUAGACUAGGCAUUAAGAAUACUUUAAUGUGUUUGUCUAUUGCAUUAAUUUUAAUUAUACUCCACUGGACUCACAAUGCUUUGAAAUGCUUUAUUAAAUGCCCCCAAGAUCUUGCACUAAUCAUAAUACAAGCACCACCAAAUUUAAAUGCUUAUAUUUCUAGAGCUGGGUAGCAUCAGCUUGCCCGAGAGCACCCUCUUCUGUUUAAAGAAUGUACUGCAAAUUACAUUUCAUGGAGUUCACAAUUCUGGAUUCUACAAAAGGGACUUCUCAGGAAAAUGUCAACACGCACAGUCAUAUUAUUUAAAGAAGCCACUCUUCCCUCUGAAGUUUGGAAGGCUGUGCGAGUGCAGAUACAUGAAGGGUAAGCAGCAAAACCCAGAGUCUAAUGAUGCUGUGCCUUUCUUCCCCAGGAAGUCUCACGGAAAUGAACUGAAAUAUUUUAAAACUUGGGGCAAUUAAUCUAAUCAGUUUUCCUUUUCCUUACAGAGGAAAAUGAUUACAUUCCUUACAGAUGAUUUUAAAGGCACAAUAUUAUCUGUAGCUUGUAUCUAUGGAUUUUUGUAAUUCAACUAUUUGCUUCUUGACUAGCAACUCUGUCUUGCUUUAAAAAUUAGUCAAAUUCAUAUUUCAUUGCCAUUUCUAAGCAGGAUAACAAAAAGUGCUUGUAUCAUAUGACCUAGGGAAAUAUGUGGAUAAUUAGAUUGAGCCCGUGAAAUUCCCAUCAAGAAAGGUAAAUAUUGGCGAUUACAUAUGAUUCAACAGAAUACACAUAACCCUGUGUUUUAGGGCCCUGGCUAAGGGUAUAAGUUCCUUGGAAUACAGUAGUUGCAGAGGAUGGGGAGGGUCUAGGAGAGACAACAUCAAAAUCUACCCUGUGUCUACACAAAAGCGGUGGGACAGUCUAGCCAGAGUUGAGACAAAACAGGGAAGAAUUGAUUGAUGGGAUUUUGAGGACUGUUGUUACAAAUAUGGUCAGUUUUUGCCAGUCAAUCCUUUUGCUGUUCCUGAAGAACUAGGGCCAAGCCUUGUGAGUGCUAGCAGUGGCUAAAAUGGUGCUUCAUGCUCUGUCUUCUAUGAAGUACUGAUGCCUUUUUGAAAUAUUAACUUUAGUAGCUCAAUAAAAAUUUAAUUUCAACACAAGGCAGAUUUCUUAUAAAAAGGAGGGUGGAGAGGUUGUUAGGUUCGUCCUUUAUAAGCACUGAUUCCCUUCAUAUCUCCUACAGCCUCCCUCCACUCCCGCACAACUCUCCUCCACUCUCCCCCAACUCCCUACCACCCACACGUAUAUCUUACCUGAUAUAUAUUCUGUGCAAUUUUGUAAAACUGGUUUUCUAAACUUUAAAAAUGUGGCUUUUAGGUGCACAUUAAUUCUACAGGACUACUCUACAAGUUGCCAAAGGUUGAAAAUUCCAUGGAAUUCUGUGGACAAAGUUUUUCCUGUUUUCAAGGAAAAAUUGUGAAAGGCUUUGAAUAGUGGUAAUCUUAUGCAUGUAUUCAUUUCAUAUAUUUCUUUUUUUUUUUUUUUUUUUUUUUUUGAGAUGGAGUCUCACUCUGUUGCCCAGACUGGAGUGCAGUGGCGCAAUCUCUGCUCACUGCAAGCUCCGCCUCCCGGGUUCACACCAUUCUCCUGCCUCAGCCUCCCCAGUAGCUGGGACUAUAGGCGCCCGCCACCACGCC